CUGCCGUGUCACAGGAGCAUGACAACCAGAAUCCAGAAUUCUUAUUCAACUUGCUCCAACAAAGCAUGCCAUGAAAUUUUAAAAGGACCAUUUGUAAAUAAUUGUGUGCAAGAAAAAUAGCAUGCUUGCUGGGGAACUAGAUCCGGAUGGGACUAGAGUUCAGCAGAAAUGAGAGGAAAAUUCAGUCCUGGAAGUACUGUGAAGAUAGAAGGCCGGAAAUGUCUAGUGGCGGGAGGGUGAACAGAUUUCCUCCAAAAAGAUAAGUUGCCUAAAUGGAGAGUGAGAAGACAUGAGCCAAAUUUAACACACAAAUAAUGGAAAUGAUCUCCUAAGACCUGUUUUGGGAAGAAGUGGAGAGAUAAGCUUGAUUUGAGUGGCUGGUGAUGAGAGAACAAAGAGGUUAGCUUGGCUGGAGACAGUGCAGAACCAGUUUCAAGGCAAUUUUAAAGUACAGUCCAUGGGACAGCCUGUAAGGUGACAACAGGAAGAACUAAAGGAGCACCUUCACUUCUGCAGGUCUGGCCACACAGUACAGUUCCACGCAAAGAUCAAAGGAAAUUCAGGGAAUACUUUCAAACUCUCUGCCUUUCCUUCAAGAAUGUGAGAAACUUGGACAUCUGCAAAUUGCUGUUCUGUUAUUUAACUUCCAACUUUUUACAGAUGAAUGAACAUUAUUGGCCAGCACUACAUGAGGAUAGAACUGGU
rnacentral:lncRNA from 1 species